rnacentral:rRNA from 1 species
AUGGUGAGGUAACGGCUCACCAUGGCGACGAUAUCUAGGGGAACUGAGAGGUUAAUCCCCCACACUGGUACUGAGACACGGACCAGACUCCUACGGGAGGCAGCAGUGAGGAAUAUUGGUCAAUGGGAGAGAUCCUGAACCAGCCAUGCCGCGUGCAGGAAGAAUGCUCUACGAGUUGUAAACUGCUUUUGUACCGGGGUAAAGGGCUUUACGAGUAAGGUUUUGAAAGUACGGUACGAAUAAGGAUCGGCUAACUCCGUGCCAGCAGCCGCGGUAAUACGGAGGAUCCGAGCGUUAUCCGGAUUUAUUGGGUUUAAAGGGUGCGUAGGUUGUUUUAUAAGUUAGCGGUGAAAUACCGGUGCUCAACAUCGGGGCUGCCGCUAAUACUGUAGGACUAGAGAUGGGAUGCAGCAGGCGGAAUGUGUAGUGUAGCGGUGAAAUGCAUAGAUAUUACACAGAACACCGAUUGCGAAGGCAGCUUGCUAGGCCCGAUCUGACACUGAUGCACGAAAGCGUGGGGAUCAAACAGGAUUAGAUACCCUGGUAGUCCACGCGGUAAACGAUGAACACUCGUUGCCGGCGAUAGACAGUCGGUGGCCAAGCGAAAGCGAUAAGUGUUCCACCUGGGGAGUACGUUCGCAAGAAUGAAACUCAAAGGAAUUGACGGGGGCCCGCACAAGCGGAGGAGCAUGUGGUUUAAUUCGAUGAUACGCGAGGAACCUUACCCGGACUUGAACGCAGGGGGAAUAUGCAUGAAAGUGCAUAGCCGGCAACGGCCGCCUGCGAGGUGCUGCAUGGUUGUCGUCAGCUCGUGCCGUGAGGUGUUAGGUUAAGUCCUGCAACGAGCGCAACCCUUGCCCGUAGUUGCCAGCAGUAAGAUGGGGACUCUACGGGGACUGCCCGCGCAAGCGGCGAGGAAGGCGGGGAUGACGUCAAAUCAGCACGGCCCUUACGUCCGGGGCGACACACGUGCUACAAUGGCCGGUACAGAGGGGAGCGAAGCCGUGAGGCGGAGCCGAUCCAAAAAGCCGGUCACAGUUCGGAUCGGAGUCUGCAACCCGACUCCGUGAAGUUGGAUUCGCUAGUAAUCGCGCAUCAGCCAUGGCGCGGUGAAUACGUUCCCGGGCCUUGUACACACCGCCCGUCAAGCCAUGGGAGUUGGGGGUACCUGAAGUACGUGACCGCGAGGAGCGUCCUAGGGUAAAACCGAUGACUGGGGCUAAGUCGUAACAAGGUAGCCGUACCGGAAGGUGUGGCUGGAAUACCUCCUUU